rnacentral:misc_RNA from 1 species
GAAACGCGAUAGUUAAUGUGAAUUGCAGAAUUCAGUGAAUCAUCGAGUCUUUGAACGCACAUUGCGCCCAUAGGUAUUCCUUUGGGCAUGUCUGUUUGAGCGUCAUUACAACCCUCAGCUAACCCCUGGUUUUGAACCUGAACGGGUGACACCGCGCCGGUUUUAAAGUUGUAAGCUCUGCUGGCCGCUCUGCCCAACCAGAACAUAGUAAGCACUACUUGUCCGGGUGAAGCUGAACGGUACGGCCUGAACAAAACCUACCCACUCUCAAGGUUUGACCUCAGAUCAGACAAGGAUACCCGCUGAACUUAAGC